AUUGAACGCUAGCGGGAUGCCUUACACAUGCAAGUCGAACGAGUGGCGGACGGGUGAGUAAUAUAUCGGAAAGUGCCCAGUAGCGGGGGAUAACUACUCGAAAGAGUGGCUAAUACCGCACACUAUUGGAGCGGCCGAUAUUGGAUUAGCUAGUUGGUGGGGUAAAGGCUCCCCAAGGCAACGAUCCGUAGCUGGUUUGAGAGGAGGACCAGCCACACUGGGACUGAGACACGGCCCAGACGCCUACGGGAGGCAGCGGUGGGGAAUUUUGGACAAUGGGGAGAACCCUGAUCCAGCCAUCCCGCGUGUAUGAGAAGGCCUUCGGGUUGUAAAGUACUUUUGGCAGAGAAGCGGUAUCGGCAGAAUAAGCACCGGCUAACUACGUGCCAGCAGCCGCGGUAAUAC
rnacentral:rRNA from 1 species